GGGAUGGGCAUGCGUAGGAUUAGUUAGUUGGCGGGGUAACGGCCCACCAAGACUGUGAUCCUUAGGGGUUCUGAGAGGAAGGUCCCCCACACUGGCACUGAGAUACGGGCCAGACUCCUACGGGAGGCAGCAGUAGGGAAUAUUGGGCAAUGGGCGGGAGCCUGACCCAGCCAUGCCGCGUGCAGGAAGAAGGCGUUAUGCGUUGUAAACUGCUUUUAUACGGGAAGAAAAGGCCCAUGCGUGGGACAUUGCCGGUACCGUAUGAAUAAGCACCGGCUAACUCCGUGCCAGCAGCCGCGGUAAUACGGAGGGUGCAAGCGUUGUCCGGAUUUAUUGGGUUUAAAGGGUGCGUAGGCGGCCCGUUAAGUCAGCGGUGAAAGUCUGUGGCUCAACCAUAGAAGCGCCGUUGAUACUGAUGGGCUUGAGUGCCGUAUGGGUACAUGGAAUUGAUGGUGUAGCGGUGAAAUGCAUAGAUACCAUCAGGAACACCGAUAGCGUAGGCAUUGUACUGUGCGGCAACUGACGCUGA
rnacentral:rRNA from 1 species